ensembl:lncRNA
GAAGACACUGAAGAUGGGAGAAAGCACCCCGGUUCCCUUGUAUCACACAGUAAUGUAUCCCUGUCAUUACAGCAGAAUUGUCAGAUAUCUACAAUAAAACAUUUCCAGCCAGGAGGAGAAACAAGUGUCUGAAGAGCAGAUAUGAACUGAACACAUUUGGUGGUCAGUAACUCUGUCAUUCCCUCAGAGAACUUCUGUGACUUGAGGAAUUUGACUUCCCUUCUUGGGUCCAAGCUGCUACUCACAGACUGUACGAGUGACUUCACAGAUGACUCCUGCAAUGAGAGUUUCCAGCAUUCCCGAUUUGCAGCUUUCUAUGGCUUGCCAUCUCAUGCAGCAAAUUUUCGUAGCUAUACAGGACAGAAGAGACAGUGUCAGCAAUGUUCCUUUUUUUUUUUCUCUUUUUAAUUAAAGAAGUUAAUGCAUUUGCUCCCCUAUUCUCAUGGGUUUCCCUAGUUCAAAAUAUUGCUGUCUCAUCCUUAUUUAUGAAACCAUUGAUUAAUGCAAAUAAAGGAUUAUAUAAUUGGGUUAUAUUGGCCUAUGUAAGAUCCCCAAAGUCAGCAAACACUGAAUUUAAAAGGAGGCUUAGGUUUCAAUGUUUUGUAAAUUGUGUUGCUGCAAAGUAUUUUAUUAUCAAAAUUGAAUUUGUCUAACUCAAGAAAAAAUAUCUUGGCAUUUCAUGACUUUGCAAUUUUAGACAGUUUAGAUCGCUAUUGAGUAUUUAAUACAUUUCAGCACUCUUCCACCACCAACCACUACAUAUAAAAAAUAGGGUUUGAAAUGGAUUAAGUAAGAAAGAACACCAAUCUGGAGGAAAUAUAUCAGGAGAGUCAAUAUUUAAUAAAUACAUGAACACAACUUUUAUGAGUUUGACACAUUUAAAAGGAAAGCAAGAUUCUCUUAAACAUACACACCAGGCCAAAUCCACUCUAGAAAAACUACCCACUUCUUGGACCGAUCACAUGGAGUUGUAUUUCCCAACAAGAGUGUUUAAAUGCACAAGUAAAGAUAGUCUGAUGCUCAGAAGCACUCUUCAAACUCACCAUUACCUUUUCUUAACACUUAGGAACUAUCAUCAAAGCUAAAGUAAUGUUAACUUUAUUUAAACAUGUACAUUGCUGCGUUAAUUCAAAUAUCAUGCUUAAAGUCGUAUAAAGUAUAGUACUGGUCUUCAUCUCUUCAGGCAGCUCAUGAGACAAGUUCCAGAUUUUACCUGUAUUGUCAAAAUUGUUGCAUGGACUGGUUGUUUUUAGACAUUUUUCUCUGGUAAUACACUGGGGAUAAAAUCCUGAAAGCUUUUUUAGUACCUGGAAGAACAGCCAAGAUAAGUGGGUGUGGGCUAGAAAGUAUUACAUUCAUAAACUUAAUCU